UGAGCAUGACUAUACCGAUGCCGAGAUUGUUGUUGAGGGAAAAUCAGUGGCUGUUCACCGCUGCAUAUUAUCUGCACGCAGCCAAUUUUUUCAUGAGCUUUUUAAAAAGGGUAAUAAUAACGAUGGUUCUGCUGUGAGUGAGGGGAAGCCAAAGUAUCUCAUGACUGAAUUGGUGCCUUAUGGUAAAGUUGGAUAUGAAGCUUUCAAUGUUAUCUUGUAUUAUUUUUACACUGGGAAGCUUAAGCCAUCUCCUUCGGAAGUCUCCACAUGUGUUGAUGAUGCUUGUGCUCAUGAUGCUUGCCCUCCUGCUAUUAAUUAUGCUAUUGAGUUGAUGUAUGCUUCUGCUGCUUUUCAGAUGAAAGAACUCGUUUUGCUUUUUCAGGUAAUUGGGCUUCCUCUCACUUGUUAAACUUAGAAAGCUAUUUGUGUUGGUAUAGUUUUUACAUAUGUUGAAUUAGAAUCAUUUCAAUCAUGACUUGCAAAGAAUUGAAGGAAGUAAAUGUGAAGCAGCAUCAGUGUUUACAAAUAUUAGACAUUGCAGUACUAGAUCCGAAACUAGCUUGGUAAAAGGAUAGAUGUUUUGAGCCCACAGCUUAUCUUUAUCCUACAGGAUUUUGUUGCAUUUGUUAAUUUGGUAUUAGUUUGUGUUGUUUUAGUCAAAAGAGAAAAAAAGACGAUUAUGGCAACAAACUCCCUGAGUACAUGCUCACUGACACCGAAUAAAUGAAAUAGCAAACUAAAAAGGUAUAGAAUACAUGGGUCUGAAUUUGAUAAGUGCAACUAUCGUAUCACAAAAAGCUUUUGUUUUUAGUUUCUAACCAAGGAAAAAUUGUAUCUUCUUUAUGUGGAUUUCAUAUACUGUUCAAGGAUGUCUAGCUGUUAUUUGCUUUCCAACAAUGACGCAACCUUUCUAGUGAAUGAUAUAUUAGUAUUCUACAUCUAUAAAUGGGACUGUGAAUUCUGGAAAAAGUUUUAACUUGAUAUGCAAUUUUUACUUUGGUGGGUGUCAGCUAAUGCUCUGGGUUGACAGUUCUAUUUUUAGGUAGUUUUAUCAAUAUUUUCUUAAUCGUCUGAUAGUUAAUUCUCUCAUGCUUUCAAUUCAACAGUGAAUGCAACACAUGCCUUUUUCUCCUCCAAGCUAUAACAUAUCAAUUCAUUAAUGCUGAAGAAUAAUAUGUUGUACUGGGGAAAUUAUGUCUCUGAACAUUGGUUUGUCGGCAUUUAAGUACAAUAAGCAUGGCAUUUUUUCUCCUUGUUAAGUUUUACUUUCCUACACUAUCCCCCUUGAAGCAACAUAUUGAAGGAAGCAUUCAUAUAUAUGCUUUAUGAUGUUCUGAAUGUAUUCUAACUCAAAACUCUUAUCUAUCCAUGCAGCGUCGCCUUCUGAACUUUGUUGAGAAGGCCCUUGUGGAAGAUGUAAUUCCAAUUCUUGUGGCCGCCUUCCAUUGCCAACUGAACCAGCUCCGCUCUCACUGUGUCCAGAGAGUAGUAAGGUCAAAUCUUGAUGAUGUCUGUCUCGAGAAAGAGCUUCCUGAUGAAGUUUCAGGUGAAAUCAAAUCACUCCGUGUCAAAUCUGACGAGGAGUGUGAAGCUAAUAUAGCAGAAGUGGAUCCUAUGCAUGCAAAAAGAGUCAGAAGAAUCCACAAGGCACUGGACUCUGAUGACAUUGAACUGUUGAAGCUUCUUCUGGAUGAAUCUAAUGUCACUUUAGAUGAUGCUUACGCUCUGCACUAUGCUGCUGCCUACUGCAACCCUAAGGUUUUUAAGGAAGUGCUCAAUAUGGGCUUGGCUGAUCUCAAUCUUAAGAAUGCAAGAGGUCAUACGGUGCUUCAUGUGGCUGCAAGGCGUAAGGAACCAGCAGUGCUGGUGACUCUGCUGAGCAAGGGAGCAUGCGCAUCAGAAACUACAUCAGAUGGGCAAACAGCUGUAGCAAUCUGUCGGAGAAUGACAAGGCGAAAGGAUUAUAUUGAAGCUACAAAGCAGGGGCAAGAAACUAACAAAGACCGGUUAUGCAUUGAUGUCCUUGAGAGAGAAAUGAGAAGGAACUCCAUGUCUGGGAACUUGGCACUGUCAUCAGAGGUGAUGGCUGACGAUUUCCAAAUGAAGCUGAACUAUCUGGAAAAUAGAGGUGAUAUUUCUUUACUGGUAUUAGUUCAUCACCUUCUCAGAGUUUGUGCAUAGCACACUUGUUUCUACCGCUUGUUUGCCCCUUCAUCUUAGCAUCUCAAACAUUGCUGUAAAUGGGAUAAACACACAGUCUACGCUUGUGCUAUCAUCAAAGACUUUUUGAUAAACUGUUAUUCUUGUUAUUUGGAAGUGAAUAUUUUCAGCAACUAGAACUACGAAGCAUCUGGAUUGAUCCAUUUUAUCAUUCUCAAUACCUAUAAAGGAAUGUUAUAGAAAACUGUUUCCAAAGCAAACUGCGUGUGUUUUGAAUUUGUCUUUGGAAGCCACUAAUUGCUUGGAGAACACUGUUAGCCAGUCGUGAUUCCAUCCACUUUCUUGGAUGGAUAAUUGUGCAUCCAUAUGAUCUAGGCAUGUUGGUUUGGACUGAACUAGUUUUUAAUAAAUAAUUGCCUUAAGGAUUUAGUCUGUAUGUUACAGCCCAGUCUUUGUUGUCAAUAGUUCUUUUUUACCCCCUCCCCAGGAAAGAAUUGAGAUACAAAAUAAUUUAUUCCUGUCAUGGAUGAGUGCCAUAACAGCUUCUUAAUGCUUUGCAGUGGCUUUUGCGCGGUUGUUGUUUCCUUCUGAAGCUAGAGUAGCUAUGCAUAUAGCAGAUGCAGAUGCCACCAAUUUUUAUACUGGCCUUUCAGCAUCAAAGUCAAAAGGAUCAAGUGGGAACUUAAAGGAGGUUGAUUUGAAUGAAACACCCUCUAUGCAAGCCAAGAGACUCCAAUUAAGACUGCAAGCUUUGCUUAAAACAGGUAUUUAUAUACCUUCUUAGUUUUUGUAUGUUUAUAAUUACUGAUUUUUAUAUCAAAAGAGAGAGGUUAAUUUUUAGUACAUUGAUAUCUCAACAAAAUGGUAGAUCCUUUAUACCACUAAAGACAUUUUCUUAGUGCACUUACUGAGCUUUCUAUGAUUGCAGUUGAGACGGGCCGACGCUACUUCCCUCAUUGCUCAGACGUGGUUGAUAAGUUUUUGGACUGUGAUUGGUCUGAUGCUUCCCUCCUAGAAAAUGGUACUCCUGAAGAGCAGAGACUCAAAAGGGCACGUUUCAUGGAACUUAAAGAAGACGUGCAGAAGGCAUUUUACAAGGAUAUGGCUGAGAAAAAUCGUUCAGGUUUGUCGUCAUCCUCGUCGUCGUCAUCUUCUCCCAAGGAAGGAGUAAAGUGUAAGGGUAGGAAAAGGUGAUGCUUAGCUACUUGUCUUUGUUAUUCAUAUCUAGGAAAACUAGGAGAGUUUUACUGUGUUUGAUUGUUACUUGUAGAGAGAUACUCUUAGAGCCUAUGUUAUGGCUAUGUUGUAUAAUAGCAGAGGAACUUCAAGCUUGCAUUGUUGUAUUUUCCCACGUAUUUGGCAUGUAAUAUACUAAGUGACAAAGAAUUUUCUAAUUUUAGAGGAGAAAAAUGUGUCAGGUAAUUAUUUGUUAAUUUUAUCUGUUUAUUUCAGUUUAUAAUAUAGUUUUUUUUUUUUUUUAAAGAAAAAAAUCUCCAUAUCUUCAUCUGCAAACUCAAGUCAUGUGUAACUUCUUUCACGGAGAAAAGGGGUAAAAAAAGGGGCAUUCCUACCUACAUUUUACGGUACUGACCCUCAUACAGAAAUUGGUUAAGAUGACAUUAAUGUUAUUCGAAAUAGAUGGUAUGCAGAAUUUUCAUCGAAAUUGAAAUUAGAAAUGGAUGGAUGCAAAUGAUAUAUAUGCAUAUGCAGAACUUUUUAACAGAUUUUUUAUACAAAAAUUUGUAGCUUAUUACUCUCCAGAAGAAAAAUAAAUCUUUAACUGUAGAUAUCAAAAUUUAAAUUUAUAAUAUGAUAAAUGUGACUUAAGGUGCACAGCACCCAUAUAAUAAUAAUUAAGAAAAGGAAAGAAAAUUUUGUAAAUUACCAAUUUUUUAGAAUUAAUUAUUUUUAUACCCAAAUUCUCAUGCUCGAAGGUCUCUGGAAUUGGCUAUUGUAAUUUUAUCAUCCUCAUUAUUCAUUGGCCAUUUUUGGACCACGACAUAAUAAAAAAAUCGCAUUGAUUAAUAUUAAUAAAUUUCUUUUGAUUAUUUUGUAGUGUGAUGAUCCGGUGAAUGCUAGUGCCUAUCAUAGCACUUGAAUAUGUGGUAAAGUUUUGCGAUUCUUUGUAAAAUAGAAUUUAAAUUGUGUAUUAACUAGACAACUUUAUAUAGACCAUUGCCCACUAAAUCAUUACUUUAUUUUGUAUAUAUUUAUGAUAAUUGUUGAAGAAAAAUGUAAAGUGAGAUUAAUGAACAUUCAUGAAUGUGGGAAAUUAACACAACUAGAAUUUAUGAUGAAAUAAUUUUACGUCAAAUGAGUGUAAGUGAAUGGAUGUUAAAAAACUUGUAAUAUAUAUUUUCCGAAUUGUUAUAUAUGCAAGUUUGUCACUAACAGUAAAUUGAAUUAUUAAUAUUUUAAUAAUUCAAAAUCUCAUUCAACCAUCGGUUUUUAUAGUAUUUUUCAGAGUACAAAAUUAUAAACCGCCUCACCCUUAAUAAUAUAAUGUUAAACCUUUUCAAAAAUUUAUUCUAUUAUAGUUGUCUUAAUCACUUAUACUUAUUCUAAAUUGAAGUUAAAAAUAGUACUUCAUAUAUGAUACAUUACUAAAAGAAAUUUUUUUUAUCAAGUUAUGAGCUAGUGAAAGGAUGCAAUAAAUUACGUCUAAAAUUGUAAAAUUAAUCAAUCACUAAGUAAAUAUAAUGUUACAUGUGUAUGUAUAUAUAUUACAUAAAGUCUGAUUCUCAUGAGCUUAAAAGAUGGGCAUGGGAUGAUAUAUCAUACUCAAAAAUCUAUUUUUGCUAAUGAUUAUACUAACAUUUAAAGGUCUCUCUAAGCUACAUUGUAAUUUAUAUAGUUACUUAAUUUUACUAAUUACUAUUAAGCUCACGCUUCUUCCUUCAUAGAAAAUCAUCUUUUUGGCUUUUUCUAUUUUUAUGCUUUUUUUAAUUUCUUUUUCAAGACUUCUUUUUCUUAUUGCUUUACCAAGUGGGCAAUUAAAAAAAUCUUUUUUUUUUGGUUGUGUAGCUUUUGGUAGAAACAUAUGAUUCCCCUCUGUUUCCUCCCCUUGGCUUCCUGCGUAUUCGAAUCCAAUACUUUGUAAUAUUGGAAACGUUAAAAUUGAUAUUACUUCUUGAUAUAUAUUCGAAACGAAAUGUCAUCAUCUUUGAGCUUGAUCAACCUCAGCAGCAAUCUUGAGAAGCUAUUGCUUGAUGCUGAGUAUGACUGUACCGAUGCCGAGAUUGUUGUUGAGGGAAAAUCAGUGGCUUUUCACCGCUGCAUAUUAUCUGCACGCAGCCAGUUUUUUCUUGAGCUUUUUAGAAAGGGUAAUAAUAAUGAUGGUUCUGCUGUGAGUGAGGGGAAACCAAAGUAUCUCAUGACUGAAUUGGUGCCUUAUGGUAAAGUUGGAUAUGAAGCUUUCAAUG
rnacentral:lncRNA from 1 species